rnacentral:misc_RNA from 1 species
GGAUUUUCCAUAUAUUACUUACUAGCUAUUGCCUACACAGUCAUGCCUUGAAUUAGCCAAAACAAUUAGAAGAACGUGUCUCUUGUUCUACUUCCCCUACUUGGGGUACUUUGAAAGCUGGGGCAAUGUUGAAUCAGUGUAAUCCCAACAACCCUUCGGGCGACAACAGUCUUCUAGGUAAUUGCCUUAUUAGAGCUCAUUCGGAAAAUGAGGAAGUAAUUGAAAGCAUCAAGAGAGUUGGCUAGCUAAAAGAUUGGAUGGGAUGUACAUGAUUACAGUCGACAAGUUUUACCAUGUUUAGCGUUUCUUGCCUCUUGAAUGGUGGAUUUGCAAUAGGUUUGCUUCAUGUCUUUACCCAAGAAAAUAUGAUUGAGAUUUGUUGUGAGUACUUAAUGUACUUCAUUAUAUAUUAGUAUUAAAUAGAUCUCGUCUUAAUUGCUCUAUUUCUUUACAGCUCAUGGUUAAG